GAUGAACGCUGGCGGCGUGCCUAAUACAUGCAAGUCGAGCGAACGGACGAGAAGCUUGCUUCUCUGAUGUUAGCGGAGGACGGGUGAGUAACACGUGGAUCAUCUACCUAUAUGACUGGGAUCACUUCGGGAAACCGUAGCUAAUACCGGAUAAUAUUUUGAACCGCAUGGUUCAAUAGUGAAAGACGGUCUUGCUGUCACUUAUAGCUGGAUCCGCGCUGCAUUAUCUGGUUGGUAAGGUAACGGCUUACGAAGGCAACGAGGCAUAGCCGACCGGUUAGAGGGAUCGCCGACACGGGAGGUGAGACGCCGUCCUGGCUCCUACGAUAGGGAGCAGUAUGGUAUCUGCCGCAGUGGUCGGAAGCCUUACGGAGCGGCGCCACGUGAGUUAUGAAGGUCUUCGGAGCGUAAAACUCUGUUAUUAGGUAAGAACAGAUGUGGAAGGAACUGUGGAGAGCUUGACGGUACCGAAUCAGAAAGCCACGGCUAACUACGUG
rnacentral:rRNA from 1 species